rnacentral:rRNA from 1 species
AUUGAACGCUGGCGGCAGGCUUAACACAUGCAAGUCGAGCGAGUGGCGGACGGGUGAGUAAUGUCUGGGAAACUGCCUGAUGGAGGGGGAUAACUACUGGAAACGGUAGCUAAUACCGCAUACCAUCGGAUGUGCCCAGAUGGGAUUAGCUAGUAGGUGGGGUAAUGGAUCACCUAGGCGACGAUCCCUAGCUGGUCUGAGAGGAUGACCAGCCACACUGGGACUGAGACACGGUCCAGACUCCUACGGGAGGCAGCAGUGGGGAAUAUUGCACAAUGGGCGCAAGCCUGAUGCAGCCAUGCCGCGUGUAUGAAGAAGGCCUUCGGGUUGUAAAGCACUUUCAGCGAGGAGGCGUUACUCGCAGAAGAAGCACCGGCUAACUCCGUGCCAGCAGCCGCGGUAAUAC